rnacentral:snRNA from 3 species
UUGCUUUCGCAGCACAUACACUAAAAUUGGAAUGGCACAAAGGAAAUUAGCAUGGCCCCUGUGCAAGGAUGGUGUCUACAGUAACAAAUAAUACACUUUC